rnacentral:ncRNA from 1 species
CUGCGGUCGGCGCUUAAUAGGGAAGACCGGUGUAAAUCCGGCGCAGUCCCGCUACUGUAAAGGUGAGUUAACUGCAAGAUGCCACUGGGAAACUGGGAAGGCGCAGUUCAACAUUGACCCUGAGCCAGGAGACCUGCCUGUUACA